UUCUUAUUUAUUUUUGUGCCUUAAUCUUUUUCUUAUCCAUUUUAUAAACUAUAUGAUUACAUAUUUUACCAAUAUAUUUUAUAUAUACAGAUUGAAUAUUUCAAUUUGAAAUUCAAAAUGUUCCUAAUUCCAAAACUUUUUAAACACCAACAUGAAAAUUCCCAUCUGUUCUUAUGUAACAGGUCACAGUCAAAACACAGGCAUACUGCAAAUAUUGUAUGUAAUUGCUUUCAGGUCAUGUGUAUAAGGUACCUAGAAAACAUAAGUGAGCUUCGUGUUUAAACUUUUCCCAACUCUAAGAUAUCUCAUUAUUUAUGUUUAACUAUUCAAAAUCUAAAGAUGUCUGAAAUCUGAAACACUUCUGGUGCUCAGCAUUUAUUAUAAAGAAUAAUCAAAUUAUAUUGUCAUUAUAUCUAAAAAGUUAUGUUUCCAAAUCUAUGAUAAAUGAUGUAUAGUUUACUGUUUAUUCAGGAACUGCAAGUGACGUAUGAGAGUUGAAUUUAUUUAAAUUAUUUCUGGAAUUCAGGCAACAAAUUCUGUGUUAUUCAAAUGUAUAACUUUGCAACAUAUAACCAUUUCACAGAUGGUUAUAUGUAGCAAUAUGUAACAAUAUGACAAAUCUUUGCUUGUGUUCUUUACACAUUUUUGUUUAAAAACUGAUCCAUAUGACUAUUUAAAAAUAUUAAACUGGACAUAUUUUGCUAAAACCAUCAAAUGUGAUUGUUUUUGAAGGUAUUAGUGGGCUUUUAUGAAAAUUACUGUCUAAAGGCAGAUGAACUGAUAUAAGAGGUUAGAAUAAAACAAAAGAAAGAAUAAAAAUGGUGAAAGAACCAUACUAUCUCCAAGUCUACUAUAGACAAGCUUUAUAUUGGAUUUAUUUUCUAUUUUACUAGCAUAGACUUUCUCAAAGAGGCUGACCACUGAGUAGAGCAUCACCAGUUCUCUUCUUCAAUGACUGGCUUCCCUUUGAAUUUGAUCAACAUAAUAGGAAGAAGUCUCAGAAGAUGGGAGCAUGAAAGAUGAGAGAGGUCAGAGUAUUUUCCUUCAGUCUCUAGAGUUAGAUAGAUUUUCCUAGGCCUACAGCUUUUGCCCCGGUCCAGUUACAUCCAAUGCUUCUGACCCCUGGAGGGUCUCACUCUCGCUCUAGUGUGCAUUCAGCCUCCAGCAACUCAUGAAAAUUACUUUUGAAUGUUUUCUUCCUAGUGACUUCUGCUCCAGGUAAGAUGAUCUCUGAUUCUUUGCCUUCACUUGUUUUGAUGGAUUUUAAUGUCGUAGUGUGCCUCGAAAGCGCAAGUCUUGAUGGGUCCAUGAAACACCAUCAAUUUUCAGUUUUUUAAGAUUUUUUUUCUUAUUGUAAGUCAUGAAAUGAUGACUUCCAAGCUUUUUCCAUGUCACAGAUAAAGGAAACUGAAUUUUAAAAUAUCAAGGCUUUUUAACUAACUAAACUUGAAAUUUAAAUCCCCACAGGGCUCUGGGUUUGCCCUCUGCCAUACUGAGUAGCGCAGUUCUAAAGUUAAUCAGCACCUCUAUCCUCAUCUUGAACUGUAAGUUUUCCAGGAAACUUAGUUCUGAUCAUACCUCUCUCCAGUAUAAUUGCUUUUAAUAUUUUAGCUCUUCAUUAUGCUUAUUCUUUCCUACAAAUUUAGUUAUCAUUAUUUGUUUGUACGGUCAAUAUUUACUUAGGUUAUGAAUACAUUUAUUAGUGUUUAGCAUCCAGCUAUUUCCUUCUGAGCUCAAUUUCUUUUAUACUUUUUUAAAUUUAUAUUUUUAUUAAUAUAUGUUUCUAGUACAUAAUGAUUACAUUCCUUGUCAGGAGUUGGAACACACACAUAACACAUCUUAUUUCUUUUUUAUUUUCCCUUCCUUUCUCCACUGUCCCUGCUCCCUUUUUGUUCCUUUUCUAUUUGCAAAAGAUCUAUCUCCCUGUUUUGUAAUACAUCUCUCUAUAUUUAUUCUCAUUAAAUUAUUUAUACUUUGAGUUUCCCAUUUAAGAAAAACCAUGUAAUAUUUAAGCAUGCAUGUCUAAUUUACGUUACUUCUCGAAGUUUAGUUAUUCUUUCAGAGGUACCUAGAAAAGAGAAAUUUCAGGGGUUUUUUGCAAAGAUGUAUUUAUUUUAUUCUUAUACAAUGAAUUAUAUAUUAGCUGGCAUAUCAUUCAGGCUCUGCCAAACCAACUCAAAAUUUUCUGGCAUAAAAUACUUAUUUUAUUUUAACUGUGUUUUCUUGUUUCAUUUCCGGCAUCUGGAUAUUUAUUUUUAAUCUUUGAAUUUGAUCUUUUUAUUGUAUCUUACUCAUUUUUGUUUUUUUGUCUUUGAUGAGGAAGUAGCCACAUUAGCAUAGUCUGGCAAUUCACAGGAAUCUUGCUGUUACAUUUUAAAGUCACACUGUAUUAUUUUGAAGCAGAUGAUAAUUUCAACUUUUUAAGUUUUAUACGGAGUACACUAGAAAACUGCAAAAAUAUUCAAGAAGUUAUAAUUAUGUAUUAUAGACAAUACUUUCAGAUGACUGAAUACAUCUUUGUCUGCAGUUUUCACUGUUGACUAAAAGGCUAACUACCCAAGCUUCUUAUAUUAAUAAUAAGUAGUUAAUUUCUAUGAAGGAAAACACCCCGCAAAAAUAUAACAUAUAUUGAUUCAAUCAAACAUCUGAAAAAGAUACAUGAUAGGAAAGAUUAGUGGCCAGAAAUACUGUGGAAUGAGGAAGGAGUUGAGAUUUCCCAGCAUUCUUAUUUAAGCUUUCUGCACAGGGAUUGACAUCCAGCAUAACAGGUAGUCACACGUUACAUUUUGACUCCAGCUGAAGCUGAGAAGAUAGUUAACGAGAGCAGUAUCUAAUUCUCUCAAACCCAGUGAUCCUUGUGUGGCACCUCUAACUCUUAACUAUAUAGCUUAUGAUGAUAUGUAAUUACAAUUGAUUGUGAUGUUCUUGCUGAAAUAAGGCAAGAAGAGAACCCUGUGUAAUAGACCUGCCCCAAGAUAGAAGAGAAGAAAUAAAAAAUAGGUAGAAAGGGAACAAGGAAAAUUGUAAUUUUCAAAUGGUAAUUUUAAGAAAAAAUGCAGCUCCGAAACAAAAGUUACUCCAGCCUUUUUCCCUUUCAGGAACCAUAAAAAAAAUCCUAAGCGUCUUUAGGACACAAUAAACCUGUAAAUUGUGGUCUGGGCCCAUGAUUUUCACCUAUAAAUUGCCCGUCCUUCUACAGACCUCCAUCCUCAAGGACGCAGCAAUAUUAGUGGGUAGCAUAUCUCAACCUAAAACACACAUAAAUGAUUUGUAUUCUAAUAUAGCCUGCCAGUGAGUAACCUGACAGGGGGAAUAUACAUCCUAGAACACUCAUCUUAAAGAAACCCCUAAGACCACAUGCAUAGUCCUAGCUCCAGACCCUAAUGUUCCUCUCAUGAUCUUGUACUCUAUUUUCUGAGUGUAUGCCUUUAAAAAUUCUGCCUAGUAAACCUCUUUAUGCCUCUCAUGACACAUCUUGAAAAUUCUUUUUCUGUGACAGAAGUCAGCAACACUACAAUCUACCCGCCAGGUGGGGUGAGUUGGGUUCCACAUCCUCUUCUUGGAGGACCUCCUCAGCCCCUGCCCAGUGAUUUUCUUUUAUUAAUUCAAAGCUGGUGAAUGUAAGCAGAAAACAUAAAAUCAUAUUCAGGCACUGAACAAAUUACCAUUAAUAAAGUGAAUGAAAUAGCAAAAUUAUUAUGAAAUUGAGCAAUAGACAUGUCAAUUUGUGACCAGAUGGUGGGUCUCAGGGGAAUUCUUUCCAGGUUGUUGGUGCCCUAAACAAAAACUUGGAUAAGACACACAGAAAAGGUAGUGGGGAUGUACAUUUAUUAAAAGUGGAAAAGAAGGUCUCUCUGCAGAAUGAGAGCAGGCUGGUGAACAGACUCACAGCCACAACAAGGGUAAGGAAAAGGGGUCUUUUGUAUCUGGAAUUCUUGGAUUGGCUUCUCCCUUGUGCAAAUAAGACAGUGGGGCAGGUGUCCUACCAAAAACUCACUUGGCCUGGCAUCAAGUUUAAACUGCCCUGUGGAAAGACUUGCUUAACUUCAUGCCAGUUGUAAAUAAAACACUGAAAGUAACAUUUUCUGAUUGGUUCUGUAUACUGUGCUCAGGAGCUGCUGAGUCAUCAUGGAUCCUGUGUUUGGCACAUGUGUCCUGGGUCUCCAUGAAUUUGGCAGAUUUUUGCUGCAUGUCCUGAAAAUUAUUUUUCUGCAGUGCGAUUCAGUGAACCUGCAUACUUGUUGUGCAAAAAGGGUAGGUUAAGUUCCUUAUUUUCUGCCUGGAGGACUAUCAUCCCCACCCCAGUGACAGCAUGACUAAGGUAUUCUCCCAUUUUCCUUGUACCUAUUUCUAGGUUCCUAAUACUAUCCUCAAUUGCUUAGAGCACCUAAUGAUCUUUUAAAAUUUGCUCCUGACUUUGGAGAAAAAGUUUUCCUGGGUGAAAACUUUAUUUUAUAUUGUCAUAUUUAAACAUUCAUUCAUCUUUCACUGAAUUUCUUCAACUUUUGUUACAGAGAACAAACUAUCCCUUUGUUAUAGACAGCUAGAUAGAAAUAUUAUAGGUAGUCAGAGAGGGCUGGGCCCUGAAGAGAGUUAGGGCAAAGAUAAAAACACAUGGCAACUGUGGUGGAGACACACCUGCUGGAGACCAGGCCUCAAGAUAAAGACUAAGAUAACCAGGCCUGUGUACUUCCUCUAAGGACAAAUGCUGGGCCUAUAGAAAUAUAGAUAGACAUCAGUCACCUCGGUGGGUGACCAAAGAGCUCUGGAACCAUCAUUUCCUAGAAGUUGGUUCUUUCCAUCCACACACGUUAUGUGACUUGUUUCCCAAUUGGAGCACUAUUACCUAAGCAACUAUACUUGUAACAUUAUUGGGUGAUCAUAGCUAUAUCCCACGUUGUACCUACAUGGGCUUUGCUCUAUGAAACCCUGUACAGUGAGGUUCCUGGCUACCAAUUCAAGACUCUUAGGAGCUAGCCCAUCAAUAAACAUUUUCCUACUCUUAACUCCCUCUUAUGUUCUUAACUCUUAACUUAACUCUUAACACUUCCUCUCUUAUGUUCCUAGAAUUCAUUCUUCAAUUUUCAGAGAAUACAAGCUUGAUGUAUCAGAUAUCUAACAGGUUAGGAGAUAUAAUAUUUUCAUAUUUUAUCUCCUAUUUCAUCUAUAUCACCUUCUGUUUUUCAAGGUUGUUCUUUCAUCUAUGUUCAGUUCACUUCCCUUUUAUCCACUUUUCUUCCUCAGAACCAGCCCUCCAUCUGUUAUUUGAUUUCUCCUGAAUUCUUACUAUUUUCCUCUUCAAUUCCCCUUUAAAAUAUUCAUUUUACACAAAACAAAAAACCAAAACCAUUCACUUUGGAUACCAUCAAAACUUUUAUAAAUAAGCUUUUAGAGAAAAAGAAAUGAUUCUUUUUUUUCAAGCUCAAAUAUGCUUGAAAGAGGCAAGAAGAGUGAAAGAAAGUUACUUAGAGAUAUGGGCUGAUUUUUUAAAAAUAGCCAGAGUAAUACAGUUUGAAAUAUGUUGACAUUUAAGGAUAAUCUCUAGUAGUUCAAAAUGCAGAUCCAGGACUUUCUAGAUAAGAAAUGGGGUAAAGAGGAACUGAAACAAAAGAACAGAGAAACAUGACUAGUAUGGAAAUGGAGAAAUGAAAAACUGCAGGAAAGUUUUACUUGUGACACCACCACCACCACCUCCUCCUCCGCUAACACUUGAUAUAGGGUAUCUUACUAUAUUACCUAGGCUGGUCUUGAACUUGUGGGCUCAAGUGAUCCUCCUGAUUUGAGGAUUGAGGUAUAAUAGAAGAAAUAAAGGUAGGUGAAAAAGACCAGAAAAAUCAGAAUUUAAAAAUUUUACUUAGAAAAACCUGAAGCUUCAGGACACAAAAGUUACUCAAGCCCGGUUUAAAUGUUUCUGUUUUUGACUCACUGAAAGAGAAAUUAGGGAAACAAUUCUUUUCACAAUAGCAUCCAAGAAACUGAAAUACCUAGGAAUCAAUCUAACAAAGGAAGCAGAAGACCUCUACACUGAAAACUACAGCACUCUGAAAAAAGAGAUCGAAGAGGAUAUAACAAAAUGGAAAGACAUCUCUUGCUCCUGGGUAGGAAGAACCAAUAUAGUGAAAAUGGCCAUACUUCCAAAACUACUAUAUAGAUUUAAUACAAUGCCUAUUGAAAUUCUACAAUAUACUCCACAGAACUACAGAAAACAAUUGAAAAAUUCAUUUGGAAUCAGAAGAGACAUAGAAUAGCAAAAGCAAUUCUAGGCAACAGAGACAUGGCAGGGGAUAUCACAAUCCCCAACUUGAAACUGUACUACAAAGCUAUGGUGAUAAAAACAGCAUGGUACUGAUAAAGAAACAGACCUGAGAUCAGUGGAAUAGAUUAGAAGAUGCAGAAACAACUCCAGACAUACUCAGCCACCUCAUCUUUGACAAAGGAGCCAACCACCCUCAUUGGAGGAAAGAUAGCUUAUUUAAUAAAUGGUGUUGGAAAAACUGGAUUUCAACCUGCCAAAGAUUAAAACUAGACCCAUAUCUAUCACCGUACACUAAACUAAGAUUGAAGUGGAUUAAAGAUCUAAAUAUUAAAACAGAAACACUAAACUUGCUGGAAGAUAAGUUAGGUAGAACUCUUGAAGACAUUGGCAUAGGAAAAGACGUUAUGAACAAAAUCUCAGUAGCACAGGAACUAGCACAAACAAUCAACAAGUGGGAUCUCAUCUUACUGAAAAGCUUCUGCACUGCAAGAGAAACCACCAACAGAACUAAGAAACAACCUACAAUGUGGGAAAAAAAUUUGGCAGCUGUACCUCAGACAAGGUCUACUAUCUAGAGUAUAUAAAGAACUGAAAAAAAAUCAGACCUCCCAAAUUUAAAGACCCAAUUCAAAAAUGGGCAUCUGAAAUGAACAGGCGUUUCUCAGACAAAAAGUAAAAGCAGCAAAUAAGCAUAAAAAAAAAUGUUCAACAUCACUGGUCAUUGGAGAGAUGCAGAUGAAAACAACACUGAGAUUCCACCUCACCCCAGAAAGAAUGGCUGCUAUCAAGAAAUCAACCAAUAACAAAUGCUGGCGGGGGUGUUGGAGAAAGGAACCCUUCUCCGUUGUUGGUGGGAGUGCAGGCUGGUGCAACCACUGUGGAAAUCAGUAUGGAGAUAAUUCAAAGAACUAGGGCUAGAGGUCCCAUUUGACCCCAUAUCUUCCCCAAAGAAUUAAAAGAAUCAUACUAUAGUGAUAUAUGUGCACCCAUGUUUAUAGUGGCACAGUUUGUAAUAGCUAAAGCUUGGAAACAGCCCAAGUGCCCAUCAACUGGAAACUGGAUAAAGAAGAUGUGGUUUUUUUAAUAAAAUGGAAUACUAGUCAGCCAUAAAGAAUGAGAAACUAGAGACAUUUAUAGCUAAAUGGAUGCAUAUUGAGGCCAUACUCGUAAGUGAAGUAAAUAGGACACACAUAUAUAAAUACCGAAUAUUUCUCUAGUGUGAGAAACUCAAAGUGUAAAUAAGGAUUAAAACGAUUAAAACCAAUAAUUGAUAAUUUGAAAUAGGAAGAAAAGGUCCAAAGAAAGAAG
ensembl:lncRNA